rnacentral:lncRNA from 1 species
AUUCUUAAGGUGGUACCUAACACUACAGGGAGAUAACUCUGUAAAAUCAACUGAACGUUUUAAUUACGUUGUGUUGUAAAGGGAAUAUUAAGCUUCUCAGUGAUCAAAAUUGGUGUUUGUCAAACUGCUAUAUAACCAGUGUAAUUUUUCUGAUAAAAUGGUUGGUUCAAAAUUUUUUAAAUUUUUAUAUUUUUGUUAAAGGGUCAAAAGUAAUU